rnacentral:lncRNA from 10 species
GGCGGGGCUGGGCGCGGGGUGAAAGAGGCGAAGCGAGAGCGGAGGCCGCACUCCAGCACUGCGCAGGGACCGGAAUUCUGUGGCCACACUGCGAGGAGAUCGGUUCUGGGUCGGAGGCUACAGGAAGACUCCCACUCCCUGAAAUCUGGAGUGAAGAACGCCGCCAUCCAGCCACCAUUCCAAGGUAAGGCAGAAAUGAAGUGGGCCGUUGGGUUCUUUCUUUUCUUUCUUUCUUUUUUUUGAGACAAGGUCUCACUCUGUCGCCCAGGCUGGAGUGCAGUGGCGCCAUCUCAGCUCACUGCAACCCCCGCCUCCCAGGUUCAAGCGAUUCUGGUGCCUCAGUCUCCUGAGUAGCUGGGAUUACAGGCACACAUCACCACACCUGGCU